UGCUUAAAUCUUUUUACUCUCUGAGUUAUGAAUUUAGGUUAGUUCUACAUCCAAGAUAAAUCUCAAUUAAUUCUUCUUUUUUCUUUUCCCAUUUCCUCCUGUCUCCCUCUCUUCUUUCCUUCUACUCUUUUCUUCACUUUUCUCUCUCUCUUCUUCUCAGUUUUUAUUUUUGUAAUUUGAAAUCAAUGUGCAAGCCAGAGCUUCUUUAGGAAAGACCAUUCCUGAGAGAACAACAGGAAGAAAUAUGAAUGUUAAACAUGUGGUGCCGUGUGGAAGCAAAGCUCCAUAAUUAAUCUAUAGAGCCAUCACCACUGUCAAAAGCAGAAAGGCCCCAGAGGAAAUAAUUUUUGUAUAGAAUGAUGGCAGCAUUAGUGACAGCAGUAAUGAUAAGACACUGAAAAGUAUGUGAAAAUUUCCUUUACAAUCCUGUGUGAGGUUUAAUUAUAAAAACUAGUAUCUUGGACACUUAACUAUUUUUUUUCAGAGGGAAUCAGAGCUAUUUCCAUGAAUUAAUGUCUUAAUCCCCACAACAAUGAGGUCGUGGUCAUCUAGUUGUAGAAUGACUCCUGCCUGCUACAUUUCCCCAGAUACCCAGGACCUUCAUGCUGUCACUCUCCAUGACCUGACCAACAUCUAUUUUGAGAAAUUAUUUUAUAUACUCAUUCAAACAGUCAUCUUUUGUGUCCAGAGUUGGUUCCUUCUGGUGGGUUCGUGGUCUCGCUAACUUCAAGAAUGGAGCCACGGACCUUCGCGACACUUCUAUUUAAACUUCUUGGAAGGAUAUCUCAAUAACAUUCCUUUGCUGAGGACCAUAAGAUAGAAGAUGAGAAUCCAUCUGCCCUCUUCUCUGCACCCAGGCUUCAAUCCUGUUUGAUCAUGCAGGGGCUACAAGGCCUUCGACACAAAGAACUUGUCUUAGAUUCUAAUCAGUUUAACAAAUAGGACAGACAGCUGCUGAGCACUGUCUGAGUGACACUGGUAAGUAUGCAUUUAGCGAUUAGCUUACAUCCAUUUAUCAAAGUAAGGCUUGAUAACAGACCAAAAAUUAUAUGCACACUCCAAAAACUAAAUCUCUGGCCCAUCUUCCUUUUGAUUCAAACCAGUCUUCUGCAAAUCCAAAUACGGCAUACCCCCGUGAAACAGAUCUUGUUUAAUAUUUACCAAAUUUGUUUUAAAUGAGGCGUUGCCAUAUUUCCUUGGCCCAAUUCUUACAAGUUAUUUUGUGAUUAUAUGAUCAGUUAGGUAAAUAUAUUAUUAGAAAGGAAUGCCUUUUCUCUGCUCCCCAUUUCCAUAUGGGAAUAUUUUCCCUAAGCACGCUCCUGGUUUCUAUCCAUCCCUUUACAUAUUUCCUCUGGGGAGUUGGUAUAGCACACCUGAUGGUUAAAUUUGGGAAGAAUAAUGCUGUUGGCUCAGAUUCACUCUUCCUUCUUAUGGGAAGGGGCCUUCCCACUGAGACCACAGCCUCCUCAGCUUCUCCUUGCUACGAGUCCUGCAGGAACCUACCUUUGCAGGCUCUGGGGCAGCCUUCCCAGGGACAGAGCUGCCUUUCCCAGGAGUGGUAAGACUUCUAAGUCAAGGGUUCAGUAUUAGCAAAGCCACAUCCUAACAGACCUCAAAAUGCAACAAAUAAAUUAGUCAUUAUCAGUACUAAGAUGACAUUUUGGCCUCCAUUUUUCCUUCACUUUAUUCUCAACUUGUUCAGAACCAGGCUCAGAAAAAGAGAUCCUAUUGACUGGGAGAUUCUUGAAGACAUAGAUAAUUAUAGUAUCAAUAGUCUUACUAUCAUGUGACUAAAAUGUCUUUUAUAUCCUUUAAUAAUAAAUUCCCUUAUGAGGAAAAUUGUAACUCACAAACAUGGAGACAGUGGGGUAGGUACAAUAGGAUAAUGAUCCCUGGGUCAAUGCGUUUCAAAAACUGAAAAUCAGGUGAUACAUAGGCAUGUUUUUCAAAGAAGCAAAUAGAAGAAUAAGAUACUUAAACCACACAACAUUAUUUUUUAGGAACUUUAGAUGAACUUGUUGUUAGGCCCAGUAAAUAAAGUCUCAUCUUUCACAUAUAGUCACACACACAUACACACACACACACACACACACACACACACAAACUUACUCAUUAGCCAGAUAAGAUUGCUGAAAAAUAGAUAAUGUAUGUGAAAAAAAACUCUUUGUAAAUUAAGGUGCUAUAGAAUAUCAAUGUAUAAAGUAUUAUUACUAUUGCUUUUAUGGAUACUCAUAUUCAGGAGAAACCAAGAAAAAUUGGUGGAAGAAAGCUAAGAGAACGUAGCAAAAUGUUGAAUCAAGAUUGCAAAGGACGUUUUUAGUAUGUCUAAGAUAUUUAUUCUUCGGUGACUAAACGUUUCACUUAAGUUUUCUGAUAAUAAAGGUAUAUAAUAUUAUAAUUUGGUAUUUUGUAUUUAUGGUAACUUGUAGGGUUUUUAAAUCACACUGCCAUACAUAUGUUUGUUGUGCUAUGCAUAUUUUGUUAUGAGGAAACAUGUUGAUUUUUGGCGCAUUUCACCACAGAUGUGCCUAUUAGCAGUGUUCCGAUCUGUCUGUCAGUUUGUGAGAGUGCCAUAUGCAGAUAGUGCCAAUGACCCUCCCACAUAUGAUACUCCUAUGUUUAUGAGACAUAGAUAAAAUAAGCCUGGACCUUAACUCUCUAUGCGAAAAGAGCUGGACAGACACACAACACCCUGUUCAGAGGAGAGAACCCUGCCCCCGCAUGUGACACCCAUAACCCAUGUGGGUACUCAGAUGCCAUGACACUCACAAAAGGGGCACUUCUUUGUGUCAUCCAGUUACUUCAGAUAGACAAGACACAAACUGCAGUUGAAAAUUAUCUCAACCAAAGAGUCCCAUAGCCUACACAAGGCUGAGUUCUCAGCAAGUACCUGCAGAAAGUAUAUACACCCUUAAAGCCAAUUCUUCCAAGCUCUGGAAGCAGUCAGACUCCUGAGUGCUUACGGAAUGGAAGCCACCUAAGUCUCUAAUCAAUAAAAAGUAGUUCUAGGGGUUUAUUACUCCCCAUAGAAUACUCACUUCUUUAAAUAUGUCUACAUUUCUCUAUAAUUUAUACUGCCCUACUUUCAAAAAGGAUUCUAGAGACCAAUAUGUCUAUAGAACUGACUUAUGCCCAGUUCCUGGUUCAUUUUGUCCCCUAUAAAAUUUUCUCUAAUUAAAAGCUUUUACUGAAAUUGAUAAUAUUGAUCAUUUGCUUUUGCAUAAACAGACAUUUCAUAUAAUACUAAUUUUAUGUAUUUUUGUCAGACUCUUGACUGUAAUUCCAUAAUUGUUUAUCUGGUUACAUUUCUUGAUGCAUAUGAAGGAGAAUGAUAAUCCAUUAAUUAAGCACUGUAUAUAAAAUAAUUGUGUCUGGUAACCUCUCUACUUUAGAAAUAUAAACACAUGUGUAUGCAUUUGUAUGUGUGUGUGUGUGUGUAUACAUAUACAGUUUUGUAUUCUGAAAAGCUUAAAUGUUCUAAAAAAUCAAGAUUUAUAGAAAUAGAAAAUUCUGUCCCCCAAGUGAAUUUAAUGGCUGAAUUUUUAUUUAUUUUUACUUUAGAUUUACAUACAAAUGAACCACCAAUGUCCCCUUCUAUCAACUCAGAAUAAAAUCUGGUUUUAGCAUAUGCAGUCCUACGAGACAUGGUUAAAGGAUAUGAAUGAUAGAUAGAGAUAAAAGAAAUCAAGGACCAUUCCUCCACAAGUCUCCAAAGAGGAAAACAACAAUCGAAGAAAAAAGAGUGAGAGAACAGAUGGGCUGGCAGAGUUUUGCUUUCUAUGUGACAUUGUGUACUUAUUAUUCGCAUGAGGACUAAUUUAUAAACCCGGAUAGUGUUUAUAAACUAUACUGUCCUAAUGGAAAUGAAAGCAUUAAUACAACUAGAAGAUUCUUUACUUUCCAAGCUUUAAUUAAAAUCACAGGCGUUAAGAAGCAAAAGUGCCUUCAUGGAAUACAAGCCUAAUGAAGGAUUUCCUUGCCUAGCACAGAGCUCUGUGUGCAGUCCCAGCUUGCUGGCACCAGCCACUGGAAAAGCCGACCCCCGUGUAACCAAAAGAGCUCUCUCUGAAAAUUAGAAAAGCAAAUCAUACCACACAUUUUUUUUUUCAAAUAAAUAUAGUUGCCAAGUCAGAUCCAGGAAAAACAAUAGCACGUCAUAAGUAAAACACACACACACACACACAGACACAGACACAGACACACACACACACACACAGCCUUAGAACAUGCUAUGUUAAUUAGCUACCUGGAAGACCAGAGGCAAAUGUGUUUGUUCUAUGCGCUGAACACUUAAAAGGGAGAGGGAAAGGUGUCAGCUUGGGAAAGAGGAAUGUGGAAAUAUGGCAAAGACAAUCUAAGAGGAGAGAGAGAAAGGAAACAAGAGGAAAGGAUUCGACAGAGGAAUUUCACAACAGCAUAGAAGAAUAGAUCAGGAGUUUUGCUACCAAAUAAUGGAGAAAAAAUACACAGAAGCCUAGGAAGUGACCUUGAUUAAAACGCCCACCAUGUGAAUGCUACUCAGCCGACACACUCAUUUUGCCUCUUAAAGGUAUCACCUCAUUUAUGUGUAGGCAAAUUAAGGUUGUAGUGGAAUUAAACUGUCUUCCCUGUAAAUCAGACAGCAAAAAGGAACAGGGAGCUACAUAUAUAUAUUAUAUAUAUGUAGUUACCACCUGCUUUGUUUAGUGAUGAUGAUAAUGGUGAUAAUGAUGAUGCUUGUUAACGAUAAUGACAUAAAUGAUGACAGUAUAUGCAAUAUAUUAAGUACCAAUGUUAGGUUAGGUAAUAUGCUAGGUGUUUUACAAGGAUCAUUUCUAAUUCAUAGAACAACUCUGGGAGAUAGGUGUUAUUUACCACUUAAUAGUAUAUACAUAUACAUUACCCCAAAUUAUACAACUAUUGAGUGACAGCCUGUAUUUGAAGGAGCGCUUUAAACGAACAGGAUUUUUAUUUUAUUAUUUAUUUAUUUAUUUAUUUUGAGACAGGGUCUCACUCUGUUGCCCAG
rnacentral:lncRNA from 1 species